ACAAGGGAAGUCGCUGUCGCCACAGUCGAGGAGCUUCUGCUGCCGCCGCCACCGCCUGCAGGAGCCGGGACCCUCCGCCUCACCGCCUCCGCUUCGCCGCCCGCGCCAUGCUGUCUGAGAAGACCUUCAAGCAGCGCCGCACCUUCGAGCAAAGAGUAGAAGAUGUCCGACUUAUCCGAGAGCAGCAUCCUACCAAAAUCCCAGUGAUAAUAGAACGGUACAAGGGUGAGAAGCAACUUCCUGUCCUGGACAAAACCAAAUUCCUUGUACCUGAUCAUGUCAACAUGAGUGAGCUCAUCAAGAUCAUUAGGAGACGCUUACAGCUCAACGCUAAUCAAGCCUUCUUCCUGCUAGUGAAUGGACACAGCAUGGUGAGUGUGUCCACGCCGAUUUCUGAAGUGUAUGAAAGUGAGAAGGACGAAGACGGAUUCCUGUAUAUGGUGUACGCUUCUCAGGAGACAUUUGGAAUGAAACUGCCUGUGUAAGACUAGAAAAAUGCAUCUGUUCUUGAAUUUUUUUAAAACCUUACCAAGGAGAAAAAAAGGGAUAUUAACCAACUGAGAUUGAUGAGUUCAUCCAAUUACAGAUCAUCAAAACAGUAGUGUUCCUGCCUAGGAGUUUUAGGAAGUUGUUUUGUACUGUAAGCAGAAAAACUGAGCUCCAAAUGAGCACAUUCAGCUUUGGAAAACUACAUUAUUUA